CGCGCGGUGGCCGAAGUCAGCUCGUGCUGGUCGCGAAUGACGUCGGCGGGCUCGCCGUCGACCGCCUUGGCAUAAGCGAUGUUGCAGCGCACGAGGUUCAAAUCCUCGCCGCGCAGCCA
rnacentral:tRNA from 1 species